rnacentral:rRNA from 1 species
GAUGAACGCUGGCGGCGUGCCUAAUACAUGCAAGUCGAGCGAACGGACGAGAAGCUUGCUUCUCUGAUGUUAGCGGCGGACGGGUGAGUAACACGUGGAUACCUACCUAUAAGACUGGGAUAACUUCGGGAAACCGGAGCUAAUACCGGAUAAUAUUUUGAACCGCAUGGUUCAAAAGUGAAAGACGGUCUUGCUGUCACUUAUAGAUGGAUCCGCGCUGCAUUAGCUAGUUGGUAAGGUAACGGCUUACCAAGGCAACGAUGCAUAGCCGACCUGAGAGGGUGAUCGGCCACACUGGAACUGAGACACGGUCCAGACUCCUACGGGAGGCAGCAGUAGGGAAUCUUCCGCAAUGGGCGAAAGCCUGACGGAGCAACGCCGCGUGAGUGAUGAAGGUCUUCGGAUCGUAAAACUCUGUUAUUAGUGAAGAACAUAUGUGUAAGUAACUGUGCACAUCUUGACGGUACCUAAUCAGAAAGCCACGGCUAACUACGUG